GUGCUCGCUUUGGCAGCACAUAUACUAAAAUUGGAACGAUACAGAGAAGGUUAGCAUGGCCCCUGCACAAGGAUGACACACAAAUUCCUGAAGUGUUCCAUAUUAAA
rnacentral:snRNA from 1 species